GACGAACGCUGGCGGCGUGCUUAACACAUGCAAGUCGAACGGAAAGGCCCUGCUCUUGUGGGGUGCUCGAGUGGCGAACGGGUGAGUAACACGUGAGUAACCUGCCCUUGUCUUUGGGAUAACUUCAGGAAACUGGGGCUAAUACCGGAUAGGAUCUCCUGCUGCAUGGGGGGGGUUGGAAAGUGUCGGCGGUUGGGGAUGGACUCGCGGCUUAUCAGCUGGUUGGGGGGGUAGUGGCUUACCAAGGCUUUGACGGGUAGCCGGCCUGAGAGGGUGACCGGCGACAUUGGGACUGAGAGACGGCGCAGACGCCUACGGGAGGCAGCAGUCGGGAACAUUGCACAAUGGGCGGAAGCCUGAGGCAGCAACGCCGCGUGCGGGAUGACGGCCUUCGGGUUGUAAACCGCUUUCGCCUGUGACGAAGCGUGAGUGACGGUAAUGGGUAAAGAAGCACCGGCUAACUACGUG
rnacentral:rRNA from 1 species